rnacentral:tRNA from 1 species
GCCGACGUAGCUCAGUGGUAGAGCAGCUGUUUCGUAAACAGCAGGUCACCGGUUCGAGUCCGGUCGUCGGCUCCA